ACUAUGGAGAGUACAAGGAACUAUGAGUAGAUACUAAGAUACAUAGUAUCGAAAAUAUACUCGUUGAAGUAGUAA
rnacentral:ncRNA from 1 species